rnacentral:snRNA from 1 species
GGAUGUGAGGACGAUCUAGCUGCGACAUCUGUCGCCCAUUGAUCACCAGGAUUGAUCAGGCUGCUCUGGCUGGCUAGGUGGGUGCCCCCUUCCCUGCAUGCUCCAUGCGCCCAUGUGCGUCCCUCCGGAAGCUGUGCGCUAAAAGGAUGACCCACCCCGAAUAGAGGAGGACCCUCCCCUCGCUCAAGAGUGUAUGAGUAGCUGCGCUCCGCUGCUAGAAUCUGCAAACAAGAGCUCAGGUUUUAAAAGUCUAAAAGGAUCCUGGGACCCAUGAGUGAUGUUGCUAAGUAUUUCUUAAUUAUUCUCCAAAUGAUUGCAUCAGUCUAAGCUCUGACUUGCGGUGUC